GAACUUAAGCAUAUCAAUAAGCGGAGGAAAAGAAACCAACAGGGAUUGCCCUAGUAACGGCGAGUGAAGCGGCAACAGCUCAAAUUUGAAAUCUGGCCUCGGCCCGAGUUGUAAUUUGCAGAGGAUGUUUCUGGCGCGGUGCCUUCCGAGUUCCCUGGAACGGGACGCCACAGAGGGUGAGAGCCCCGUAUGGUUGGACACCAAGCCUGUGUGAAACUCCUUCGACGAGUCGAGUAGUUUGGGAAUGCUGCUCUAAAUGGGAGGUAAAUCUCUUCUAAAGCUAAAUACCGGCCAGAGACCGAUAGCGCACAAGUAGAGUGAUCGAAAGAUGAAAAGCACCUUGAAAAGGGGGUUAAACAGUACGUGAAAUUGUUGAAAGGGAAGCGCUCAUGACCAGACUUGUGCCGGGCGGUUCAUCCGGGGUUCUCCCCGGUGCACUCCGCCCGGCUCAGGCCAGCAUCGGUUCUCGUUGGGGGAUAAGAACGGUAGGAACGUGGCCCUCCCUCGGGAGGGUGUUAUAGCCUGCCGUACGAUACCCUGAUGGGGACCGAGGUUCGCGCUCCGCAAGGAUGCUGGCGUAAUGGUCAUCAGCGACCCGUCUUGAAACACGGACCAAGGAGUCGUCCAUUAGAGCGAGCGUUUGGGUGUAAAACCCGCACGCGUAAUGAAAGUGAAAUUAGGUGAGAGCUUCGGCGCAUCAUCGACCGAUCCUGAUGUUCUCGGAUGGAUUUGAGUAAGAGUUUUAACGGACGGACCCGAAAGACAGUGAACUAUGCUUGUAUAGGGUGAAGCCAGAGGAAACUCUGGUGGAGGCUCGCAGCGGUUCUGACGUGCAAAUCGAUCGUCAAAUAUGAGCAUGGGGGCGAAAGACUAAUCGAACUGUCUAGUAGCUGGUUACCGC
rnacentral:rRNA from 1 species